GGAGUGGACUGUGGGUCAGUGGAAGAGCCUCGGCUUACCAUGCAGAAGGUCCCAGGAUCGACUCCCGGCAUCUCCA
rnacentral:tRNA from 1 species